CGCUGACUGGCCGGGGCGGGGCGGGGUCGACGCCGAUGAUUGGCCAGAGUCGGGCGGGGCGGGGCUGGCGCCGCUCAUUGGCCUGGGCGCCACCCAGCCUGGUCCCCGCCGGGCCGCCUUUGUUCCCGCUGACAGCUGGGCUGCUAGACCUCCCGGCUGUCUCUCUAGAGUCGACUCUUCUCGGCUCUACCCAAGGCUAGAGACCCCCAAAGUGAAUUGGAGCCUCGCAGAACCGCUUUCCACACUGCUUCCUCACCUUCGCCAAGCCACUUCCACCUCCUGUGCCCUGGCCUUCAUUCAAGCCGGAAUGGGCUGAGGAACAUCAUACAGACAAAGAAGUUGGCAUGACCUUUGUCAGUUUUGAGGGAGACCUUUGGCAAGCGGUCUCUGUCAAGCUCACAUUUGUUUGUAGCCCUAAACUCGUUUAAACGAAUAGAGCAGGAAUCUGCUCCAGGAAUCUGAGACGAAAGGAAGGUCUGAUGCUGUCUCCCUAAGAGCUGGUGAGGUCCAAGACUGGUCGUCUGGGAUGAGGGGCUGCCCUCGGCUGGGGCUCCUGGGGCCAGCUGGCCUCCUGAUUGAGUCCUCCAGACUGACUACAGUCUCCAUCGAGAAGACCUCAAUCUUACCUCCUGCAAAAAUAGAGGAGAAGGGGAAGAGGGCAGAGGAGUGGAGAGGGUGGGGGUCGUACAAGGUAAUCUCCGUGGUCCUGUCCAGCAUCUUCUGACUCUCUUUUACCUGAGGUCACCGGGAACGACAGCGAAGAAGGACUGUUGCAGCAGCCUCGUGAGCGUUCCCCCCAUGGGCUCUUGGUAGACGCUGACCAUUUGGCUGCAGGUCCAGUUGAGGCACCGAGCACAGGAGCAGCAGUUGGCUGAGCUUCCUGGUGCUAGGAACAGAGCAGUGAAGAACACAGAUGUGUCCUUGUCCUCAUGAAGCUUGCAGUCUGCUGGGGAGUACAGUCACUGAACAGAUACUCUCCAAACUUGUGGUGGAAUUAGCAGUCAUUCAGUUUCUCUUGUCACUCCGUCCAGCCUUUGAAGGACAACCGGGAAGGAGACUUAGAGGCUGGCUCUCUGAAGGGGUGGAGACACGCAUCUGUGGUCCCUGCGGUCAGCCUUCAGCAGUUUGAGUUGGGAGAGCUUUUUCGUUUCUGUAGAACUUGAAGGCUGCCGUUUGAAAUGGCACUGGAUCAAGUGUUCAUUGGCCACCACCUACUUCCGACAUGGAACACAACUGCUCGUCCAGUUGCAAGCACAGAAUGAAGGUGAAUCAGCUCAUGGAUGGCCUUCAGAAAUUCUGAGCUUGGUUUUAGACAUUGUAACAUAUAUUAAGACCAACAGGGCAAAAGAGGUCCUUUAAGUGUGAAAUUAAAGUAUUAUCCAAGGAUA
rnacentral:lncRNA from 1 species